GGCCGUGUGGCGCAACGGUAGCGCGUUACUUUCCGGUACUUGUCAUCUUCAGUUGGUAAAGGCUCUGGGUUCGAGUCCCAGCAUGGUCG